GAGUUUGAUUCUGGCUCAGAGUGAACGCUGGCGGCGUGCCUAAUACAUGCAAGUCGAACGGACAAGUAAGAGCUUGCUCUUAUGAGUUAGUGGCGCACGGGUGAGUAAUGUAUAGCUAAUCUGCCCUACACUAGAGGACAACAGUUGGAAACGACUGCUAAUACUCUAUACUCCUUCUUUACAUAAGUUGAGUCGGGAAAGUUUUUCGGUGUAGGAUGAGGCUAUAUCGUAUCAGCUAGUUGGUAAGGUAAUGGCUUACCAAGGCUAUGACGCGUAACUGGUCUGAGAGGAUGAUCAGUCACACUGGAACUGAGACACGGUCCAGACUCCUACGGGAGGCAGCAGUAGGGAAUAUUGCUCAAUGGGGGAAACCCUGAAGCAGCAACGCCGCGUGGAGGAUGACACUUUUCGGAGCGUAAACUCCUUUUCUUGGGAAAGAAUUAUGACCGUNCCCAGG
rnacentral:rRNA from 1 species